GACCUCUCAGGGUCACACCUGCAGAGUUUCCAGUCCUCUACCAGUCUCGGCUACGGGAGGGAGAGUCAUGCAGAGGCCUAUAGAUUCCACUCCUACCUUGGCCAGUGGCUAGCGAGUGGAAGACAAUCUGCUACAAGU